UACGUAGGGGGCAAGCGUUGUCCGGAAUCAUUGGGCGUAAAGCGCGUGUAGGCGGCCCGGUAAGUCCGCUGUGAAAGUCGGGGGCUCAACCCUCGAAUGCCGGUGGAUACUGUCGGGCUAGAGUGCGGGAGAGGCGAGUGGAAUUCCUGGUGUAGCGGUGAAAUGCGCAGAUAUCGAGAGGAACACCAGUGGCGAAGGCGGCUCACUGGCCCGAUACUGACGCUGAGGCACGAAAGCGUGGGGAGCAAACAGG
rnacentral:rRNA from 1 species